rnacentral:rRNA from 1 species
UGAGGGAUAUUGGUCAAUGGGCGCAAGCCUGAACCAGCGACGCCGCGUGGGCGAAGAAGGUCUUCGGAUCGUAAAGCCCUUUUCCCACUGAAGAGGAAGGACGGUAGGUGGGGAAGAAGUCUCGGCUAACUACGUGCCAGCAGCCGCGGUAAAACGUAGGAGACAAGCGUUAUCCGGAGUUACUGGGCGUAAAGGGCGUGCAGGUGGCGUCUUAAGUCUGUUGUGAAAGCGCCUGGCUUAACCGGGCGAGGCCAAUGGAGACUGAGAGGCUGGAGGACGGCGGAGGGGUGUGGAAUUCCGGGUGUAGUGGUGAAAUGCGUAGAGAUCCGGAGGAACACCAGAGGCGAAGGCGGCACGCUAAGCCGUACCUGACACUGAGACGCGACAGCACGGGGAGCAAAC